CCAGCUUUUAAAAUCAUUUCUAUAUGUUAGGUAUUUUUAAAGGUUUUAUUCGCUGAAUUUGGAAAAAAGAAAGAUUUAUAUGGGAUGAAAAUGAUCUUUGAGUAUAAAGCCUCAUUGAAAAAUAUACUCCAUGUUUUGGGUGUGUUAUGUAUUUCCUCGUAAAAUGAAAUCCUUGUUUUAUUUGUUUAUUGUUAAUUGUUUAUUGUUUAUUAUUUUACCAACCCGUAAUCCAAAAACCACAUUUUGCGUAUUUCAGCAUACUAUUGGUACCGGCAUAGCCCGUUAUUUCUUUAACGUACAAUGGUCGAUCAGAUGAUAUGUCUCCGAUUGUGUGCGUACGAAUUAUCUAUCAGAUAAGAAUUUCGCGUGAGACAUCUAGCGGCCAAAUUAUAGUCCCCUAAAGUACGUCUUUAGGACGGGCUCUAUACGUUAUUCGGGAAAGAACGGGCUCAGGACCAAGUAGAAUCGGGUGAGUACACAGAAGGGCCUGCGGUGGCCGUAUUAGCUUGACUCCCUCGUCUGGAUUCAUAUUCAGCUCAAAACUGAAUUAAUGCUGAGCAACUUAAACAAAGGGGAGCUCAAGCCUUAAUAAAUAUCGGAUUAGUGGGCUGACUGCGAUUAUUAUUAUCGUUACUUUUCGAAAAAAAAUAGCUAAUACAAUAGAAACAUUAUAAAUUAGACGUUUUUGUAGAAAUUUUUCACAAUUUUCAAAUAUUUUGUCGGACACUGAAUAUCGAAAUUUCAACAAUUGUACCGAAUGUUUACUUUUUUUCUAGAGCCGGAAAUUUAAGAGAAUAUCGUUAAACAAAAUCCCGAGUCUCCUCAUUGGGGUCAUGCAUUUGCGUAGAUUUCAGAAUAGAGAAUGUUAAGAAACCACAUGAAAUAAUAUUUCUUAGCAAAACUGUUAGUAUCUACAAAACUGCCUGACCUCAUACAUGAAACCGGGUUUCCGACACUGGGUUUAAUUUCGAUACUCGGGUUUCCGACACUGGGGUUCAUUUCGAUACUCUGUUUUAAGAUUCGGACUCAGUUUAUAUUUAUUAUUAUCUUUUUAUAUCUUCGCUAAGUUUUAUAGACUCUAGAAAUUGGCUCAUAUAUAAAGUCUGAUGUCGCCUCUUAAUUCCCAUGUUUAUUGAGACAGUACCACUGUAAUCUGUAUAUAAUGUAUAGUAUAUAUCGGAAACUGUGCCGAGUAGAGUCAAUUUCGAAAUAAAUAAUUUUGAUUGA